CAGGGAUUGGAUGGUAACUAGACCAGCGCACCAGCCAAGUUGAGUUCAUUUGACAAUCCCUGUCCGUCCACCACACCACCGGAGACAGACACGCCGCACCCAACGCCACUCGAAUUCCCCAUCGCCCGCGGCCGCGGCCGCCGCCGCUGCUCCGCCGUCGCGGCGCCAUGCUCCACCUCCGGCAGCGCGCCCUCUCCCAUCUCCUCUCCGCCGCACCAGCUCCUUCCACAUCCCCUCUCCUCUCUCUCCACCGCCUACUCUCCGCGGCCGCGGCCGCCAUUUCCCCGAACCCUAGAUUCGUCGUCGAGGACUACCUCGUCGGCACCUGCGGCCUCACCCGUGCCCAGGCACUCAAGGCCUCCACCAAGCUCUCCCACCUCAAGUCCCCCGCCAAGCCCGUCGCCGUCAUUCCUCGCCGGCCUCGCCUCUCCGGCGCCGAUGUCGCGGCCGUCGUCGCCAAGGAUCCGCAGUUCCUCUGCGCCAAAGUGGACAAAACUCUGGCCCCUGUCGCCGUCGGGCUCACCGGCCUCAUACAUCAGCGAUGACAAGAUCGCUGCCAAAGUGGACUACUUGAAGAAGGCGUUUAGGUGGUCAGAUACCGAGGUUGGCAUUGCUGUGUCCAAGGGUCCGUUCUUGCUGAGGAGGUCAAAUGACGUGCUGCAGCGUAUGUCAGAGUUCCUGAUCUGUGAGGUGGGGUUGGAACCGGCGUACAUUGCUCAUCGCCCCGCUAUGCUCACUCGUAGCCUCGAGGGCCGGCUCAGGCCCCGGUACCAUGUUAUGAGGUUUCUUAAGGAAAAUGGAUUGAUAAAUCAUGACAGAGACUACUAUACUAUGGUGGUGGUCAGCGAGAAGGUAUUUGUGGAGAAGUUCAUAUGCCCUCACAAGCAAGCUGCACCACACCUUGCUGAAGACUAUGCAGCUGCUUGCACAGGACAGGUGCCUGCUACAUUCAGAUUUACAUGAACCAGGAAGCAGGAAAAUGGAUUGCUAGAGCGCGAGUGGAACUACUAUUCAGCAGCCUUGGUGGCAGAAAAUUUUCAUGGGAAAGUUCGUAUGUCCUCACAAGGAAGCUGCCCCCACCUCGCCGAAGACUAUGCUGCCACUUGUAGGGAAGUGCCUUCUAAUUUCAGAAUUACAUGACCAAGAAUGGGCGAUGAGAACUGCAUAUGGCGCAAAAAUGUUUACACUAUGUGUAGUGAGCUGGUAAUCUCUGUCUGUGUUCAUUGCCUGAGUGGAUGUUGGUUGUCUGCUAUAGUAUGUCAGUCCUUGUAUGUCGAUCAACCAAUCUUGGUGGCUGGGGCCUUGCUAUACCACACGUGAUUCUCAAGGCUCUGUUAGUUGAUGACGCUCUGAAGCUUCCUUCAGUAACAAGUACUCCUACUUUUAUGACCUGAUGUGUGCGGGGGUUUUACUCAGAGAAGCUCCUACUUUUCUCUAUCUGAAUUUUGCUAGUUUGGUAAUCCUUCUCGUAUUGUAUGUCCAUUACAUCAUUCAGUAGAGAAGAAAGAUACACUGCAAUUAACCUGUCCAUCCUGAUAUCAUAUUGUCAUGCAUACUGAGAACUAAGAGUGUGACAUCAGGGCAUUCUGCAAAUGCUUUCAAAUAUAUUAAUUAAGAGUAUAUCUGCAGGACCUAUAUGUUUAUGUUCUCAAUUGCCGUUGCAGCUUUCAAUGCAAUCCUGAGUCAAACUAUCUUUCAAUGAAAAAAGGUUAUCAUUUUUUGCCAUGAAAGAUGAUGUGAAGUCCCAAAAUUGGUUGAACAUCUUUUUUCGUGAGAACAAAUCUGGAAUUAACGUGUUAGUCACUGCCAUGGAUUACGAGUCGAACGACUAGUCUAGACUAGUCGCUCGACUAGUCUACGAGUCGCACUCCAGCUGUCGACUCCUUUUCUCGUGUAGACUACAAAUACGAGUCGAGCCGUCGAAGGACUAAUCGACGACUAGUCUGGACUAGUCGUGCAUCUUGAGUCGUUCGACUAAAAAAAAAUCCAGGCUUGCUCCAGAGAGAGCAGCCUCAGCUGGGACGAGGCGCCGCCAGCACCCACUGGCCUGCCACUGCCGCCGCCACCCACCGCUGGGACGGCGGAUGGCGCAGCCAAGUGCGGCAGCCGGGCGGAGCUCGUGCUCAGGCGGCGGCCAUGGCCGUGACCCGUAGGCGCGCGCGGCCUUGAGACGAGAGAGGAGGAAGAGAGAGAGAGGGGAGAGGAAAGGAGGAGGCAUGGCGGUGGUCGGCGGGCUCGCCGGCGGGAGCGGCUGAGGCCGGCGGAAGGCGGCAGGAGGCGCGGGUCGCGUGCGCGCGUGCUCUGUGCGUGAUGGCGCUGGCGGCGGCGAUUGGGUAGAUCGAGAGCUAGGGUUCCAGUGGUUGGGGGACUAAGUAGGCUGGCCACUUGGGCCAAAUGGGCCAGCUGGUGGGUGGGGGGCGUGCUGCACGGUGCUGAGCUGGGCUGGGCCUGACAAGUGUUGACUAGCACUGCUGGUUUUAUUAUGUAUAUACUGUAAUGUGCUGUACAGUUUACUACAUACUACUACGUACUACUACUAGGUAUUAGUAGUUGAGUACUACAGUACUAUGUCGACUAGUCUAGCACUAGUCUAAGACUAGUCCGAUUAGUCUAUGAGUCUCAACCUCGGAACGACUCGUCGACUCGUAAUCCUUGGUCACUGCUCAGGUUGCAGUUUUGAACUAGUCUGUUGGUUGCUUCCUCUAGUUCUUCUAAGCUGAAACUCUUCAUUCUUCCUGCAGUAGCUUUGUUUGUAAGACAUUAACUGUUGUGAAAGCAGGUCAUUGUUUACUAGUAGUUUAUAUCACGUUUUUUUUUUAUUUUUCUCUUAUAUUCUUGGAUGGGCUACUGGCUGAUACUUUUUCUAGGAGCAUCUGACGUAAAAACUGAAUACUUCAGUAGUUGGCCAGUAGCAUUUUGUUGACAGCCUACCCAUGUAGCACUACGUAACAGAUAUUUCAAAGGCCCUUGUAUUUGUACCGGAGACACAACUUGAUGCUUCUAUGAUACGGUGCUGAAAAACAGAGGGCAUUUCAUACAAUAUGAAGCAACUUAUGUUAAGGUAAUCUUAAAAAGGGUUAUGGCACUACCAUGUUAAUCUCUGCCAUACUGUUAGCUAAUUUUAUUCAAUAUUAGCACUAUUUGUAUAGAUUCUCGGGACAUCUUUUUCUCUUGGAAUAUUUUUCGGAACCAUUAGGAACCGCAGAUUUUUUAGUCCAUCACAUUCAUGCAUUUACCAUAGUAAGGUGAAUCUUAUGUACCAUCCUCUGUUUUAUACUUUGCCAUUUUAGAUGCUCUUUUAAAUUUGCUUUAGUUGUAUUGUUUACAAACUCCUCUGAAGACAUGUAGACUGGAAUUAGAGAAAAGAGAAUGAAAAUGUUGAAGACUAUAUUACCUUACCCAAGAGAUGGUCCCAGAGAUGAUAUCUUAACCAAAGCUUGGUCUUAACAUUUAAGGUAAUGCAAUAUUUUUUUUCUCAGUUAUACGAAUGUCAUCUCUUUCGUAUACACUUCUCAAUUAAAUCUCAGUCUAGGCAUGCAAGUACUAUUUGUCAGAUAUAGUGUAGUUAUAAAAUCUUACAGAAUUUCAAACACAGAAAUUGUAGACUUGCUGGUGGUCCUGAAAUUAAGAAUCAAGUUGUAUGAGGCGAGGAUGGUGGUACACAUUUGUUUAUUCCUGGUGUUAGGUUGUAGAAAUCGGAAGAAAUGAGAUCUCAGCUGUGUGCAUCCAUUAACAAAACGGAGAGCUCUGAUCUGAAAUGAAGAUCAGUUGUGUGUCUCUUCUCUCAUGCCUAGUUUAGCUUGUGGGAAUUAUAGAAAUAAGAUUAAUGCAAUGAAGGCGAGGGAAAGGGGUCUGUUAAGGAAGAGUAAAUAGCAUAAAACUACUACUUUACAGGCUAGGGUUCCAAAAAACUACCACUUUUUAAUUUUUCUCAAAAAGCUACUAGUCGCGCGGUCUGCUGUUUUAAAAAACCCAAACCCGCGGUGACUAGCGAUUUAACCGUUUUCCUGACCGCCUGGACCCACCUGUUAGCCCACGUGGCCACGCGUGCUCACGACGCGGCCGUUGACGGCCGUCAGGCAGGCCGGUUCAGUCGGAACUGGGUAAAUACCCCCUCGGUCGGUCGGGCGCACCCUGCUCGCUCACUCUCUCCUGCUCGCUCUCACUCCCCUACUCCCACUCCCCUGCUCCAGUACGAGCUCGCCGCCGGUCGCCGUCGACCUCCUUGCCGCAAUGCCUUCCUGGAACGACGAGGAAACGAGCUCCGAGGAGGAGUGCGAGGUCGUCAGCAUGGACAUGGGACUUAUGGAGGAACCAAACACCAUUGUGGAGCCCCUUUUCUGUGGCCAACUUGAGCUUGCUCAACCCAAGUGCAUUCUGCACCAAAUGAGGCCUAUUAAGCGUGUUGCUUUUGAAGGCAUUGUGACAGGAAGGCGUUUCUAUGGUGGCCCAGUCCAGGAAAAUGGUGUGAAUUGUGGUGUUGUAGAGUGGGUUGAUGGGCCUUGGCCUCCUGUUCUUCAGAGAUGUCUUUCCAAGCUAUGAGAAAUGUUCCAUGAGCAGAACUGUGGAAGGGUACUUGACAAGGAGAAGUUUGAGAAGGAGUUGGCCAAGCUGAAGUGUGAACAUGAAAGGGAGUUGGUCAAGCUUAAGAUGAAAAAUGACAAGCUUUGCAUUGAGUACACCAAGCUUGUUGAUGAUGUAUCCAAGAUGUUUGAUUGGCAGGAUGGUAGGGUGGACAAGGUGUACCAGAAACAAGUGGAGGAGGAAGAACUUGAGAAGAAGAAGAUGGAGCUAGAGGAGAAAGCUAUGUUGGAGGUGCAGAUGGAAAAGCUCAAACUUGCAAAAGAGCAGAGGUGCAUUUUGCAGAGCCAAGCUGAUAUCAUCAAGAACACCAGGAAGGCUAUGAAGGAUGUUGAAGUUGACAGAGAUGUUCUUAAGAAGGAGAAGGAAAAGCUUGAGCUUGUUGUUGCUGAGCUGCUGAAAGAUGGGUAUGGCAGCAAGGAGAAGUUAGAGCAAAUCAAGGCCAUCCUUGAGUCUUGAAGUUGCUGUGAUAUGUUGGUGAAGUAAGUACAUCCAAGGCCUUUAUAUAAGGAUGUGGCCUAACAGUCUGAAGUGGGGUGUACAUUUUGGGGGAAUGUGAAGUUUAACCUAGUGUUUGGUCAUGCAUUUGAACUUUAGUUUCUUACGUAAGAACCUUAUUUCCUAUGUUGUUAAGUAAGUUGUAAUGGAUCACCUAUGUUGUUAAGUAAGUUGUAAUGGAUCUCCUAUGCUAUUAAGUAGUGGAAAUGGAUCUCUUAUGCUACUAAGUAGUGGAAAUGGAUCUUGUAUGCUAUUAAGUGUUCAAAUUUAUCUUCUAUCUUUUAUAUGUUAUUUGUUAGCCUACAUAUAUUAUUUCUAUGGGUAAUUGGGCUUAGUGGCCCACUAGUCUCUGACCAAAUGCAACACUAGGCCUACUAAACCCAACCCCAUCCAU